GAUGAACGCUGGCGGCGUGCCUAAUACAUGCAAGUCGAGCGAACAGACGAGGAGCUUGCUCCUCUGACGUUAGCGGCGGACGGGUGAGUAACACGUGGAUAACCUACCUAUAAGACUGGGAUAACUUCGGGAAACCGGAGCUAAUACCGGAUAAUAUAUUGAACCGCAUGGUUCAAUAGUGAAAGACGGUUUUGCUGUCACUUAUAGAUGGAUCCGCGCCGCAUUAGCUAGUUGGUAAGGUAACGGCUUACCAAGGCAACGAUGCGUAGCCGACCUGAGAGGGUGAUCGGACACACUGGAACUGAGACACGGUCCAGACUCCUACGGGAGGCAGCAGUAGGGAAUCUUACGCAAUGGGCGAAAGCCUGACGGAGCAACGCCGCGUGAGUGAUGAAGGUCUUCGGAUCGUAAAACUCUGUUAUUAGGGAAGAACAAAUGUGUAAGUAACUAUGCACGUCUUGACGGUACCUAAUCAGAAAGCCACGGCUAACUACGUG
rnacentral:rRNA from 1 species